rnacentral:rRNA from 1 species
GACGAACGCUGGCGGCGUGCUUAACACAUGCAAGUCGAACGGAAAGGCCCUGCUUUUGUGGGGUGCUCGAGUGGCGAACGGGUGAGUAACACGUGAGUAACCUGCCCUUGACUUUGGGAUAACUUCAGGAAACUGGGGCUAAUACCGGAUAGGAGCUCCUGCUGCAUGGUGGGGGUUGGAAAGUUUCGGCGGUUGGGGAUGGACUCGCGGCUUAUCAGCCUGUUGGUGGGGUAGUGGAUUACCAAGUCUUUGACGGGUAGCCGGCCUGAGAGGGUGACCGGCCACAUUGGGACUGAGAUACGGCCCAGACUCCUACGGGAGGCAGCAGUGGAGAAUAUUGCACAAUGGGCUGAAGCCUGAUGCAGCAACGCCGCGUGCGGGAUGACGUCCUGCGGGUUGUAAACCGCUUUCGCCUGUGACGAAGCGUGAGUGACGGUAAUGGGUAAAGAAGCACCGGCUAACUAUGUG